rnacentral:lncRNA from 1 species
UGUAAUGGCGGGAAGAGAGCUUAUUCACAUUUCCCGUUGCUCUUCGCUCCCUUUCCUUUUUUGAGUGACCAGUGAAGUAGGUCUGCCGCGUGUUGCUAUGGCUGGGGUGGGACAAGGGGGAUGCCUGCCUGCUGGUGAGUUACCAGUUAGAAGCAGGACAGCUUCCAGUGAUAACACGUUGCUCUCUUAUUCUUCUGUGAAGAAAUCAUAACCAUGGCAACGGGUCUCAAGGUGUACUUCUGUGGCAGCAUCAGAGCUGGCCGAGGAGACGUGGAGAUUUAUGGUCGCAUUGUGGAGAUGCUCGGGAAGUAUGGCACCGUUUUGACACCUUUCGUGGCUGAUCCAAACCUGACAGUACAUUCAGCUGAAGAAGG